rnacentral:rRNA from 1 species
GAUGAACGCUAGCGGCAGGCAUAAUACAUGCAAGUUGAACGGGAUUCAGAUAGCAAUAUUUGAUGAGAGUGGCGCACGGGUGCGUAACACGUAUGCAACUUAUCUUAAACUGGGAGAUAGCCCGUGGAAACAUGGAUUAAUAUCCCAUAGUAUAAAGAACAGGCAUUUGUUUUUUAUUAAAGCUCCGGCGGUUUAAGAUGGGCAUGCGCGUCAUUAGCUAGAUGGAGAGGUAACGGCUCACCAUGGCAACGAUGACUAGGGGGUCUGAGAGGAUGUCCCCCCACACUGGUACUGAGACACGGACCAGACUCCUACGGGAGGCAGCAGUAGGGAAUAUUGGGCAAUGGACGCAAGUCUGACCCAGCCAUGCCGCGUGCAGGAAGACGGCCCUCUGGGUUGUAAACUGCUUUUAUCAGGGAAGAAACCCUUCUACGUGUAGGAGGCUGACGGUACCUGAGGAAUAAGGAUCGGCUAACUCCGUGCC